ensembl:lncRNA
AUGAAGAGCUUAAAUGUACGCCCACCAAUAGUGGGCCCCCUCGUGGUAUAUAACCGCAGUGACCCCACUGCUCACCUCCUUUUUCUCUUCAUGCCAAGCUUGAGAGCUUUAUUAAAGAGCAAAUAUUAUCCCAAAAGAGCAAAAUUAUCCGAAGACGACUUACCAGCCAUGUCCAGCGACGCCAGACCCUGCCCGACCUGCCAGACGGGCUCCAUUUCCAGCGGCGACCUGCACGCUAAGUGUGAGGUCUGUCUCGGGGCUCACCACGCUGGCCUGGCCUUGACCCCGCAGGCCUCGUGCCCGUUCUGUGCCGCUCUGCCCGUGGCGGAGAAGAUUCGCCGGGUCGAGUACUUCACUCCCGCCGCCGACGAAGAAUUUCCGGUGGCUGACUCCUACCCGCUGGACAAGGCUUUGGUUUUCUUCGACGCCGGUCAGGAGCCGGCUGGCUUCAACCGGCUGGAUGACGUCACCGACAGCGAAAACUACGAUGAGGCGGCAUCCCUCCUAGACAUAACGGAGGUCGACGAGCUUCGCUCAGCGGGUCCUUCUGCCCCAGUGGCUUCUCGCUCCUCCCUGCCAGCAGUAAGAGCACUGCUCCAGGAGCUGCCCGCCAUCAUUUCUGCGUCAGCAGCCCGCAAGGGGCUAGCUGUGCCAGAACCGGCCCUGCCUGAAGCGGAUGAUUUGGCGGGAAUUUUCGGGGCAACUCAGACACGCUGUCCAGACCCUGUCUGGCCGCGCUUCCCCGCUGCUAUGAGCUGCUGGUCUGCCGCCUUCUCCGAGCCUGCCAAGCUCAAGGCGCCAGUCUCCACUAGAGCCGGAUUUGGCCUCGCUGUUCGGCGCCAAGAACCACCUCGCUGGCCCGCGAGCUGUUCCCGCUUCAAAACAUGACCAGCUGCUGACGCGGCUCACCGACCGCGCACAUCAGUGUGCCUUUCAGACCGGCGCUGCAGGGAAUAACAUCGCCCUUCUUGCCUUCGGCGUCUCCAAGAUGAUGGAGGAGCUGGAAGCUCCCGAGGAGUCGAAAGCCGUCAUAACUAAGACUGCUGAUGCUAUCCUCAAUCUGUGUGCUGCUGUGCUCACCGGUUCUGCUCGCAUCGCUGCCUGGCAGACCCUCAUCCAGCGAGCGAUCUGGCUGAAGGCCCUGCCCUCCAUUCCGGAACAUCUGCAAAGGGAGAUGCUGGAUGGCCCCAUCACCACCGAUGUUCUGUUUGGUCCCCAUCUUAGGGGCGUCAUUGAGAGGGCUCAGAAGACGGCCGAACUAUCGGCUACGGUGCGAGACCUGGUCCACCCUCGGUCAGCCUCGCACUCCGGCCGUUCAGCCAGAGGAUGGGACGAACGGCGCGGAAGCUUCAGACGUCCAGCUGCACCGCCCGCUCCACGGAGCCGGCCUCCCGCUUCGGCUCCACAUCAGCGGGACCAGCGAGAUGGCGGACAACGGUUCCGGCGGGGCCAGCAGACGCCGUCUUGGCAGUCCCAGGUGCAGGAGCCUCGCCGAAAGCAGCCACGGAAGUGACUCUUUGGGGGGAAUGUGUGUGUUACUGAUUGUUCUGAUGUUGUUGGUUUUGAAAUAAAACCCAAAAAACGUCACUCAAAGAGCUCAAUCCUACAGUCCUCCGCAGAAU